rnacentral:rRNA from 1 species
UACAGAGGUCUCAAGCGUUGUUCGGAUUCAUUGGGCGUAAAGGGUGUGUAGGUGGCGCCGUAAGUCGGGUGUGAAAUUUCGGAGCUUAACUCCGAAACUGCAUUCGAUACUGCGGUGCUUGAGGACUGGAGAGGAGACUGGAAUUCAUGGUGUAGCAGUGAAAUGCAUAGAUAUCGUAAGGAAGACCAGUGGCGAAGGCGGGUCUCUGGACAGUUCCUGACGCUGAGGCACGAAGGCCAGGGGAGCAAACGGG